rnacentral:rRNA from 1 species
GAUGAACGCUGGCGGCGUGCCUAAUACAUGCAAGUCGAGCGAACGGACGAGAAGCUUGCUUCUCUGAUGUUAGCGGCGGACGGGUGAGUAACACGUGGAUAACCUACCUAUAAGACUGGGAUAACUUCGGGAAACCGGAGCUAAUACCGGAUAAUAUUUUGAACCGCAUGGUUCAAAAGUGAAAGACGGUCUUGCUGUCACUUAUAGAUGGAUCCGCGCUGCAUUAGCUAGUUGGUAAGGUAACGGCUUACCAAGGCAACGAUGCAUAGCCGACCUGAGAGGGUGAUCGGCCACACUGGAACUGAGACACGGUCCAGACUCCUACGGGAGGCAGCAGUAGGGAAUCUUCCGCAAAGGGCGAAAGCCUGACGGAGCAACGCCGCGUGAGUGAUGAAGGUCUUCGGAUCGUAAAACUCUGUUAUUAGGGAAGAACAUAUGUGUAAAUAACUGUGCACAUCUUGACGGUACCUAAUCAGAAAGCCACGGCUAACUACGUG